CAAUAGCGUAUAUUAAAGUUGUUGCAGUUAAAAAGCUCGUAGUUGGACCUUGGGCCUGGACGGGCGGUCCGCCUCACGGCGUGUACUGUCUUGCCGGGCCUUUCCUCUUGGUGAUCUGUUGUUUCGGCAGCAGGGAACCAGGACCUUUACUUUGAAAAAAUUAGAGUGUUCAAAGCAGGCUCGACGCCGGAAUAUAUUAGCAUGGAAUAAUAAAAUAGGACGUGCGGUUCUAUUUUGUUGGUUUUUGGAAUCGCCGUAAUGAUUAAUAGGGACAGUCGGGGGCAUUAGUACUCACAUGCUAGAGGUGAAAUUCUUGGAUUUUGUGAAGACUAACUUCUGCGAAAGCAUUUGCCAAGGAUGUUUNCAUUA
rnacentral:rRNA from 1 species